GGGAAAUUGGGGGGGGGGGGGGGGGGGGGCACGGUUAGGGAGCGCAACUGCUGCUGUUUCCUCAGAGGCAAUCUGGAAAGGAAACAAGACGAACUGUGUCCUUAUUCCUCUGCUUUACCUGCUUCGUACAGGUUCAGUACUGUGCAAAAGUUUUAUCCACCACAUAAUACCAACGUAGAGCAGCUCCAACUUCAUUCUUCCACAGCACGGGCCCAGACAUACAGCCAGAGUCAUGAAGAACUAUCUUCAGAGACAAGAACAAGGAAUCCUGCAACAGACGGUGUGGUCUCUAGAGCCCUGAUCUCAACAUCAUGGAGUCAGUCUGGAAUCACAUGAAGAGACAGCAGACAGUGUACUGAGGAGAACUGGUGGUGUUUUAAAGGCCAAGGGUGGUCAGCGUUUACUGCAUUAUUGUUGAAGUUAACUGAUAAAUAAAAAAUAUGCAUAGCAUUAUUUUUCAAAAGCA